UACGUAGGGGGCUAGCGUUGUCCGGAAUCAUUGGGCGUAAAGCGCGCGUAGGCGGCCAGAUAAGUCCGGUGUGAAAGUCAAAGGCUCAACCUUUGAAUGCCGCUGGAAACUGUCUGGCUUGAGUCCGGAAGGGGCGAGUGGAAUUCCUGGUGUAGCGGUGAAAUGCGCAGAUAUCUGGAGGAACACCGGUGGCGAAGGCGGCGUUCUGGACUGCAACUGACACUGAAAAACGAAAGCCAGGGGAGCAAACGGG
rnacentral:rRNA from 1 species